CUAGCUUUACACAGCCUUCCGUUUCUCUCUCUGAUGUUUGGAUGUAAUGCUCGUGCAGGCCGACUAAACGUUCCGCUCUUCUGGCUUCUUAGGCCGACGGUUAAGAGUCUAUUUGCAAAUUCACCAGGAAGCGUGACUACAUUUUUAUGUGGGUCAGUGAGACUCUAAAAGCCCCCCUCUUUCUUAGAGAAGAGGGAUCAGGAGAGGGUAACUGACACUGAGGGAGAGCACCUCCUUUAUGCUGUGAGCGAGGGAAGGGAUUGGGAGGACGGGAGAGGUGUUUUCUUGCCAACACAGAGGUGUAGUGGUUGGGCCUGUGUGCUCCUCAGAUUCCAGUGAGAAUGAAGAGGUUUAGGAGACAUGGACAGGAGUCCCACAGAGAUCGGAUCAAACAGGAGCUCUAUGGGUUCAACAAGACGGUGGAACAUGGUUUUCCCCACCAGCCCAGUGCUCUGGUCUUCAGUCCCAGCCUACAGCUCCUGGCCAUCGGCACACGCUCCGGCGCCAUCAAACUUUAUGGGGCUCCAGGUGUAGAGUUCAUGGGUCUACAUGAUGAGAACGCUGCCGUCACACAGGUCCACUUCUUACCACAGCAGGUUGACUUGGUGACUCUGUUAGAUGACAACAGUCUCCACAUGUGGACCCUCCGAGCUCACCACGGAGUCUCUGAGCUGCUGGAGACAGGACGCUUCACACUCACUGGACCACCGGGUGCUCCUCCCAGUGUGACUCGUGUGACGGCGGUGCUGACCCACUCCUCUGGGGACAUGUUGUUUCUGGGAACAGAGGGGGGACACGUGUUCGUAGUGGAGGUACCGGGCUUCAGAGAACUAGAGGAGAGGAACAUUAGCCUGGAGAAUGUCACUAACAGUUUACCAGAGGACUAUGGAGGUCGUAGGAUCUUGGAGCAUGUCGAGUCCUUACAGGAGAAUCCCGUCAACCCACUCCAGGUUCUGAUUGGCUACGGACGGGGCAUCAUGGUCAUCUGGGACCUGGAGCGCCAUUCAGCCGUCAAACACAUCCCCGCUACUCAGCAACUAGAGAGCGUGUGGUGGACGGAGGACGGUGGCCAUGUUCUCAGUUCCCAUAGCGACGGGAGCUACUGUCGCUGGAUGGUGGCCGGGGAGGGGACACAGAGCGAACCGGAGAAGUCCGAAGUACCGUACGGCCACUUCCCCUGUAAGGCCAUCUCUAAAAUCAUCCAGCUCCCUACAGAACAAGGGCCUCCGUUCCUGUUCCUCAGUGGCGGCAUGCCCCGGGCCAGCUACGGAGACAGACACUGUAUCAGUGUGAUCCACAGUAAAACACACGUGGCUCUGGACUUCACCUCCAGAAUCAUCGACUUCUUCGUCAUCAGAGACGGACCAGACCAUACAGGCGACCCCAGUGCGUUGGUGGUCUUAGUAGAAGAGGAGUUGGUAGUGAUUGAUCUCCAGACUGAAGGGUGGCCGGUCAUCCAGACUCCGUACCUGGUGCCUCUCCACUGCUCGGCCAUCACCUGCUCCCACCAUGUCUCUGCUAUACCCCUGAAGAUGUGGGAGAGGGUCCUGUCUGCCGGAGCACUGCAGAACACACACUACUCUAAGAAGCCGUGGCCUAUAACAGGAGGACAGAACCUGUCUCCUGACGCUCCUCAGCGAGACCUACUUCUCACAGGGCACGAGGACGGCACGGUGCGUUUCUGGGACGCGUCGGGAGUCUGUCUGUACCCCAUGUACAAGCUGAGCACGGCAGGGGUGUUCCUCACUGACGCAGAACCCAAUGACAACAUGAACCAGUGCACAGAGGGAGAGUGGCCACCUUUCAGAAAGGUGGGUUGUUUUGACCCGUACAGUGACGACCCUCGUCUGGGCGUUCAGAAGAUCCACCUGUGUAAAUACAGUGGUUACCUGACUGUAGCUGGCACUGCUGGACAGAUCCUGGUGUUAGAGCUGAACGAUGAGGCAGCAGAACAGACUGUGGAGGCCACGGUAGCUGACCUGCUACAGGGACAGGAGAGCUUCCGUUGGAAGGGCCACACGCGUCUGGAGGUGAGGGAGGAGCCGGUGACGUUCCCCCCAGGGUUCCAGCCCUUUGCCCUGGUCCAGUGUCAGCCUCCUGCUGUUGUCACCGCUCUAACCCUGCACUCUGAGUGGAAACUAGUGACCUUCGGGACCAGCCACGGCUUCGGACUCUACGACUACCAGCAGAAAAGCAACGUCCUCGUCAGGUGUACUCUGAACCCCAGUGACCAGCUGGCUAUGGAAGGUCCUCUGUCCAGAGUAAAGAGCAUUAAGAAGUCUCUCCGCCAGUCCUUCAGGAGGAUCAGACGCAGCCGAGUGUCUUUACGCAAACACCACGUCAACAGCGCUGCUAAGGUGCAGGAGGCCAAUGCUCGUCUGGAGGCUGAGCUAGCAGAGAUGGAGUUGGCUCCUGUUCAGAGAAAGAUAGAGGCUCGAUCCUCAGACGACUCCUUCACCGGCCUCGUUCGCACACUGUACUUCGCUGACACCUUCCUCUCAGACAGCUCCCAUCACACGCCCUCUCUCUGGGCAGGGACCAAUGGGGGCUCGGUAUUUGCCUACCAGCUCCGCCUACCGCCUGUGGAACGCAGAUCAGAGGACCCUGUCUCCGCCCACCCUGGUGAGAGCAUGCCUUUUUCUCCUCUCGUCCAUCUCUCUCCCUCGUGCCUCUGUCGACCCUCUCCUCUUGUCCAUCUCUCUCCCUCGUGCCUCUGUCGACUCUCUGCUCUCGUCCAUCUCUCUCCCUCGUGCCUCCGUCGACCCUCUCCUCUCGUCCAUCUCUCUCCCUCGUGCCUCCGUCGACCCUCUCCUCUCGUCCAUCUCUCUCCCUCGUGCCUCCGUCGACCCUCUCCUCUCGUCCAUCUCUCUCCCUCGUGCCUCCGUUGACCCUCUCCUCUCGUCCAUCUCUCUCCCUCAUGCCUCCGUCGACCUUCUCCUCUCGUCCAUCUCUCUCCCUCGUGCCUCUGUCGACCCUCUCGUCCAUCUCUCUCCCUCGUGCCUCUGUCGACCCUCUCGUCCAUCUCUCUCCCUCGUGCCUCCGUCGACCCUCUCGUCCAUCUCUCUCCCUCGUGCCUCUGUCGACUCUCUGCUCUCGUCCAUCUCUCUCCCUCGUGCCUCCGUCGACCCUCUCCUCUCGUCCAUCUCUCUCCCUCGUGCCUCCGUCGACCCUCUCCUCUCGUCCAUCUCUCUCCCUCGUGCCUCUGUCGACUCUCUGCUCUCGUCCAUCUCUCUCCCUCGUGCCUCCGUCGACCCUCUCCUCUCGUCCAUCUCUCUCCCUCGUGCCUCCGUCGACCCUCUCCUCUCGUCCAUCUCUCUCCCUCGUGCCUCCGUCGACCCUCUCCUCUCGUCCAUCUCUCUCCCUCGUGCCUCCGUCGACCCUCUCUUCUCGUCCAUCUCUCUCCCUCGUGCCUCCGUCGACCCUCUCCUCUCGUCCAUCUCUCUCCCUCGUGCCUCCGUCGACCCUCUCCUCUCGUCCAUCUCUCUCCCUCGUGCCUCCGUCGACCCUCUCCUCUCGUCCAUCUCUCUCCCUCGUGCCUCCGUCGACCCUCUCCUCUCGUCCAUCUCUCUCCCUCGUGCCUCCGUCGACCCUUUCCUCUCGUCCAUCUCUCUCUCUCGUGCCUCCGUCGACCCUCUCCUCUCGUCCAUCUCUCUCUCUCGUGUUUCUGUCGACCCUCUCGUCUCGUCCAUCUCUCUCAGCUAAGGAGAUCCAGCUGAUGCACCGUGCUCCAGUAGUGGGCAUCGUGGUGUUGGACGGCCACGGUUCCCCUCUGCCUGAGCCCCUGGAGGUGGCCCACGACCUGGCCCGCUCAGCUGACAUGCAGGGCUGCCACCAGCUUCUGGUCAUAUCCGAGGAACAGUUUAAGGUGUUCACCCUGCCCAAGGUGAGCGCUAAGAUGAAGUUAAAGCUCACCGCCAUCGAUGGUUCGCGCGUGCGCAGGGUGGGCGUGGCCUGGUUCGGCAGCAGCCGCUCGGAGGACUAUGGUGAGAGUGGCCUCACCGUCCUGACCAAUCAGGGAGACCUCCACGUGGUGUCGUUGCCGGGGGUGAAAUUGCAGGUCCAGUACCCCUGUAUCCGCAGAGAGGACGUCAGCGGCAUCGCUUCCUGUGUCUUCACCAAACACGGACAGGGUUUCUACCUGAUCUCUCCGUCUGAGUUUGAGCGUUUCUCUCUGUCCGCUCGCUGUGUGGUGGAGCCCAGGUCUCUAGUGGAGGUGCCCUCCCAGACACCCGGCACCACCCUGCCUCGGGCGCAGCCUGACGGGCCGUCUGUGGCACACAGAAAUUCCACACGGGACACCGAUGACGUGGCUGUGCUUCAGGAGAUCCAGAAAUCUCUAGAAGGAUACCAGCCGACGUUCCUGGAGAACAACGUGAAGAGUGCUCUCGCUGGAGGGAAGGUGCUGACCAAUGGAGACUGAGACAGUCCUUCCUGGUCAUGAGACAUCAUGGAGUCUGCCUAGCAAACUACGCCAACACUACUAAUACUGCCACUACUGACCCCUGAACCAUGACCCCUAGCCCCCAGAGACUGAAACCUCACCCCCUAACCCAAAAAGACUGACUCACUGUCCGUGUCCCAAAUUGCACUCUAUUCCCCAAGUAGUGCACUGCUUUUUACCAAGCCCAUAUAGGGCGAGUGGUGUAGUGUAUGAGGACUAGGGUGUGAUUUGAGCCCAUAUAGAGAGAAGAGCGAUGGAGAGGGGGUCCACCGGCUGUGCCUAGAGACCAACCACUGUACUGUAAUACCCUCCUACACUUGGUACCUCUACACCUGCAACACAGUGGUCAUGAUAUGGUCAUUCCGCUGACGCGCUUGUCCAAAGCAAAUCACAGUUCACACACCUUCACACACGAGCCAUAAUUGCAUUUAACACACCCUACUCACCCACCCACUCCCUCCUCACCCCGACCCCAGUCCCGUGUUACAGACCUUCAGCCUUUCACCAUUUGAACCCAAGCUGACCUGUGGAACUCGUCCCAACCCUGCCUCGGCACAGCCUCGCUUGCCUUCGUCUCCUAGAGAGGGACACGGUCGGAGACGGGGAGAUAUCAGGAGGAGGAAUGGACUUGUUUUUAUUCAUAUUUUAAUUGUGAUUUAAUUUGACCUGUGAUUUUAGUAUUUUUGUUUUGAUUCGACCUAAAAUCUAGAUGGGGGGGUGUACAAGAAAACAACAGGAAUGUUUAAAAAUUGACCUGUUUGACAUGGUAGUUUGUUGCUAAUGCUGACAAGACAUUGUUUGGGGCGAGAGAGAGCAACACUGAGUGUCUGUGGAAUCGGAACAGUUAAUUUUGAACCAGACCUAAUCCUAGAACAUCAGCCUGGUAGCCAUGUCCACAAAGCCUCUGAGUAGGAGUGAUGAUCUAGGAUCUGUUUAGGUUUAUAAGAUUAUAAUAAGAUUAUAUGGCCGGAUCCUAGAUCAGCAUUCCUUGUGUAUACGGGCCCUGUUCCUGCUUUAGCCAACCUCAGAAACUGAUCUGACUACCAGACUAGUCGUGCAAGACCACUGUGCCGUAAAUGUCUCCCCCAAGCGUUUUUUUGCUAACUGGCCUCCCUCCUUGCCUCCCCCACCGUCCGCUCGUUAAGGUGUAAUAACCAGUUAUAAGUUAUAACCUGUCUUAGGUACUUGUCCACUACCGUGUAGCACACAAUGUCUAGGGGAACAACUUUCUAUGGGGGUUUUACAUUUUUAUCAUGUUAAAUGUCUUUUGUUUUGAACACCACAUUGAAUAAUGUAAUUUAGGAAUGUAAUUUUAAGAUAAUGUAGUCAAAUGUUUAAUAUAUAUAUAUAUAUAUAUAUAUAUGUACUAUAUGAUGAUUCUAGGCCUGCAUUUGGACCUGUUUAGUUAAUGGGGGUUGGCUGCUAUAGUCGGAUCUUACAAGGAAAUAUUUUGGUACUGUUUCUCCAAAAUGCUGGGUAUUUUAGCAUUUUUAUGGUCUCUAGAAUAUAUUUUUGUAGUGAAUGGUUGAGUAUGAGAACCCUAAUUUUUGGAUUGCUAGCUUUCACACUACAUAAUGUCCUGCUGGAAAAUGAAUACAAGUUGUUGUUUUUUUUCACAAGA